GAAGUCAAAGCUGCCAAAUCGGGACAGACCCGACCUCCCCCUCCUAUUUUCUUCUUCUUUCGCCGUUUUUGGUUUUCCGGCGAUUUUGUCGCCGUCCGGCCACCCCAGGACGAACCACUCGGCAUGGCAUGAUCCUCUCCUCCUUCUCUACCUAGUCAUCUUUUUUUGGCCGGUGAAGGAAGAAUUGAAGGUGAUUGAAGGCGUGAACAGUAGCAUGAACAGUAACUGACGAGUUCUUAGUUUUGUUUUGAUCUUUCCGGCCAAAUUGUUGGGUUUUGUUGGUUGUUGCAGGUACAGAAACUGUUAGGUGUGUUGUGGAGAUGAGUUUGAGCUUGUUAGGUUGGCCGGAUUUGGGGUUUGGUGUGGUGGCGAGUGUAACCACGCGCCACUGCUGGUGGUGGUGGUGAGGAGGCUCUGCCAGCCCUCCAAAACCCAUUAAUUGAAUCUUUGAGUUAUGUUUUAGAUUUGAGGAUAUUUGGGUAUUGAGACUUUUUGGAAUUUUAUGUUGGGUAUGGUUGUUUUGAAUAUUAUGGUAUAAAUUUUAUGGGGUAAAUCUCUUGGUAAAAUGCUAUUGGUGAA